rnacentral:lncRNA from 1 species
AACGGUACCAGAGGUACCUACAUCAAGGAAACAAGAUCAGAGAGAGGAACCAGAACAGAGAAAGAAAAAAAAAGAGAAACCAAGAAUGGGAAAAGAAGAAAAAGCGAUGCUGCCAGGAUUAUCCAUGAAGUUUUACAGCUCCAAACCAGCUACCAAAAUCAGGUGAAGAAAUCUGCAGAUUGAACGCCUGCCUCCAGCUCCAAAGCCUCGUUUUAACCUCUGUCAACAGCUUAUCUUUGCUCCAACUUCCACGAUUAAACUUGCUGUUGUUUCUCCCUCUCCAAAUGCACCAAAUCGUGCACAUCCAGACC